rnacentral:misc_RNA from 1 species
GAUGAAGAACGCAGCGAAAUGCGAUAAGUAAUGUGAAUUGCAGAAUUCAGUGAAUCAUCGAAUCUUUGAACGCACAUUGCGCCCCCUGGCAUUCCGGGGGGCAUGCCUGUUCGAGCGUCAUUACAACCCUCAAGCUCUGCUUGGUAUUGGGCUCUGCUGGGACCGGCAGACCUUAAAAUCAGUGGCGGCGCCACUCGGCUUCAAGCGUAGUAAUUCUUCUCGCUUCGGAGACCCGGGUGCGUGCUAGCCAGCAACCCCCAACUUUCUUAGGUUGACCUCGGAUCAGGUAGGGAUACCCGCUGAACUUAAGCAUAUCAAUAAGCGGAGGA